CGGCAGCCCGAGUGGUGAUCACUAUUAUUGGGUCUAAAGGGUCCGUAGCCGGUUUGAUCAGUCUUUUGGGAAAUCUGACAGCUUAACUGUUAGGCUUCCAAAGGAUACUGUCAGACUUGGGACCGGGAGAGGUAAGAGGUACUACAGGGGUAGGAGUGAAAUCUUGUAAUCCCUGUGGGACCACCAGUGGCGAAGGCGUCUUACCAGAACGGGUCCGACUGUGAGGGACGAAAGCUGGGGGCACGAACCGGAUUAGAUACCCGAGUAGUCC
rnacentral:rRNA from 1 species